CUGGACCCAUCUGAGACCUACCUGUUUUACUUCAUGAUUACUCCAGAUACUCCUACAGUUAACCUGCAUUUUGUCUUAUGUUGAUGCAGUCUGGACACUAGUAUCUGUUGGGUUGCUGACUAUCAUUGAAGAUAAAGUACUUCUCCAAAUCUUCUCUGCCUUGACCCUGUGUCUUCUGCUAUCAUUGUUCAGGGUAGUACUGCAAAGAUCAGUUUACAGGAUCUACCUCAGCCAUUGCUUCCCGACUGCCAUGUGCUACCUUGGAUUACUGCUACAUCUGGAUUUACCCUAAUACUGUGAAGAACACUGACAGUGUGAUGCUUGACUUGGGACAGAAAAAAACCCAUUGGCAACUGGUGCAGGCAACUCAGUGCCAGAUUAAAACUCAUCGUACUGCGACCUCCACUGUUUACAAGAAGCAUACUCUAAAUCAGAUUGUUUUUUUUUUUUUUCAGAAUGUUUGGAUUACAAGUUAAAACUGCAUUGAGAAACAAAAAAUACAUUACCUUUACCUUUGAACUGUCACUACCCUAAAUUUAUGUGUGUGUGAUGAAUAGAACAUUGUUUUCAUUAAUUUGUAAUGGAUGUUUGAUGCACUUUUGUUACUGAGGUAACCCUUAAACUUUUUAUUUUUUAAGUCAAUCUGUUUGCAAGCAACUAGAUUGAUGUUCAAGUAAAUAAGACUAAGGAAUUCCAAGUUGCAGAAAAUGUUAACAUGAGUCAGCUCAACUUAAAAGAGUUGUUUUGAAAUACACACAUAGUACAUUGUACUUAAUCAUUUAGUUGUUGAAAAUAGUGAUUCUGAGAAACCAGAACUUCUGUGUAAGUUUACUAAAUAAACCUUUGCUAGUACAAA